UUAAAGUGGAAAGCAGUAGGUCUGAGCAGUCAAGGGGUGGACUGUAGUGCCUGCUGUUGGCACCUCACUGGCUGACUGGCCUGCACACCCAGCCUUUAGCCGCAGUGAGCAGCAGCUGCAGACUGCUCACAGCUACACCCUUCUCCUGAGAGUUUCCUGGAAAUGCCUGGAAGAUCUUCCCUCCCCACUGGCCCUCAGCUGGUGGCUUUGAUACAGGCUGGCAGCAGACAAACGAUGCAGGCAGGCAGUGAGACUCAGAUUGGGUCCUCCUGUCGGAACAGCUGGGAUAUGAUGUCCAUGCCCUCUCCCAGGACCCAGGUGGAACUUGAAUACUGAUUCAUCAUACUCACUUUUCAUUUGGAGAGUGAAUUUUGGACUGAAAUAAAGGGAGAUGUUCAGCCUCAGGUGUAGAAGCAGUGAGACAAUUUCCCACCACGGAGGAAGAUGAAGAGCAGGAGAGGAGAGGCUGGCGGCUCCCAGGAGCAGAUCACCUGCCCCCACUGCAAGGCCCCCGUGUGCUCAAUAAACUGACCCUUGCGCAGAGACUAAGGCUCACUUAUUGGAAACUAUUAUUGUUACAGUUACUAAGUAAUUAACAAGUGAUGCAUAGGGCUGGUCAGUUAUGUGACUAUACGUGCGCGUGUGUGCACGCACGAGUGCAUGUUUAGUUCAUUACAGAAACACCAUCAUUUCUUUGUAAUCAGCUGAAAUCACCACUCAUUAGUGGGCCUCUCGUGGGCUAUAACUGAUUUUACAGCCACCUGUCAUUUCUUUUUUCUUUACAACUUUGUGCGUUUGUGUUUUUCAUGGCAUGCUCAGGGUACACUAUGUUCUGCACGCAAGCAGGGGGCUGCACGGGCUCCAGCUCCCCUUCUCAGGCACGUCCCUCUCGAUGUAAUGUGUAGGAUGGAACUUCUUCCCAUGCGCUCUGUGAAGGGGCCCCGCAGCUCCCCAGCUGGACAGCUGCUCUGGAGACUUUGGCAGGGCUGGGCACCUGUGGAGCCUGAGGCCAGACCCAGGGAGCCACACUGUGGGAACCACAGGGCACCUGGAACAUAGGUUUAAUC
rnacentral:lncRNA from 1 species